rnacentral:tRNA from 1 species
GAGGGAAUAGCUCAAGUGGUACAGUGCAUGCUUAGCAUGCAUGAGGCCCUGGGUUCCAUCCCCAGUACCUCUA